rnacentral:rRNA from 1 species
AACGAACGCUGGCGGCAUGCCUAACACAUGCAAGUCGAACGAGACCUUCGGGUCUAGUGGCGCACGGGUGCGUAACGCGUGGGAACCUGCCCUUAGGUUCGGAAUAACUCCCCGAAAGGGGUGCUAAUACCGGAUAAUGUCUUCGGACCAAAGAUUUAUCGCCUUUGGAUGGGCCCGCGUUGGAUUAGCUAGUUGGUAGGGUAAAAGCCUACCAAGGCGACGAUCCAUAGCUGGUCUGAGAGGAUGAUCAGCCACACUGGGACUGAGACACGGCCAAGACUCCUACGGGAGGCAGCAGUGGGGAAUAUUGGACAAUGGGCGAAAGCCUGAUCCAGCAAUGCCGCGUGAGUGAUGAAGGCCUUAGGAUUGUAAAGCUCUUUUACCCGGGAUGAUAAUGACAGUACCGGGAGAAUAAGCCCCGGCUAACUCCGUG